rnacentral:tRNA from 2 species
GCCAGGAUAGCUUAAAUGGUUAAAGCACGUCAUUGGUAAUGACGAGAGUGACGGUUCAAUUCCGUCUCCUGGCU